CAAUAGUGUAUAUUAAAGUUGUUGCAGUUAAAAAGCUCGUAGUUGAACUUCUGGCAGUGUGCAGUUUUGGUCUUGAUCAGGCUGCAUUGCUGUCAUCCGUCUGCAAACCUCGUACAACCUUUAGUGGCUUGGCGAGGGGAGUAGACAUUUUACUUUGAAAAAAUUAGAGUGUUUCAAGCAGGUUAUUGCCAGAAUACUUUAGCAUGGAAUAAUGGAAUAGGACUCUUGUCCAUUUGGUUGGUUAUUGGACCAGAGUAAUGAUUAAUAGGGACAGUUGGGGGCAUUAGUAUUUAAUUGUCAGAGGUGAAAUUCAUGGAUUUAUUAAAGACUAACUUAUGCGAAAGCAUUUGCCAAGGAUGUUUUCAUUAA
rnacentral:rRNA from 1 species